AGGGUGCGUUGAUCAUUCUCAGAUCA
rnacentral:piRNA from 1 species